rnacentral:rRNA from 1 species
AUGAGUCGACCUGAUGGGGUCAACAUCCCCGACGACAAGUUCUACCUUGGAGAUGCUGGCUAUGCAUGUCGGCCGGGUAUUCUUUCACCCUUCAGGAAAACGAGGUACCAUCUCAACGAGUUCUCAGGUAGGAACUAUCCUAGGACUGCACAGGAGCGGUUUAAUCUCAGACACUCCAGCCUUAGAGUAACUGUUGAGAGGGCAUUUGGAGCUCUGAAGAAUAGGUUUAAGAUCCUGGAUCAGAAGCCAUUCCACCCAUACUACAGUCAGGUUUAG